CGUGCCAGCAGCCGCGGUAAUACGGAGGAGGCAAGCGUUAUCCGGAAUUAUUGGGCGUAAAGCGUCCGUAGGUGGUUAUUCAAGUCUGCUGCCAAAGCGUGGGGCUUAACUCCAUAGAGGCAGUGGAAACUGAGUGACUAGAGUGCGGUAGGGGUCGAGGGAAUUCCCAGUGUAGCGGUGAAAUGCGUAGAUAUUGGGAAGAACACCAGUGGCGAAAGCGCUCGACUGGGCCUGCACUGACACUGAGGGACGAAAGCUAGGGGAGCGAAAGGGAUUAGAUACCCCUGUAGUCCUAGCCGUAAACGAUGGAUACUAGGUGUUGCUCGUCAUCGACCCGAGCAGUGCCGUAGCCAACGCGUUAAGUAUCCCGCCUGGGGAGUACGCUCGCAAGAGUGAAACUCAAAGGAAUUGACGGGGGCCCGCACAAGCGGUGGAGUAUGUGGUUUAAUUCGAUGCAACGCGAAGAACCUUACCAGGGCUUGACAUGUCCGGAACCUUGCCGAGAGGUGAGGGUGCCUUCGGGAGCCGGAACACAGGUGGUGCAUGCUGUCGUCAGCUCGUGUCGUGAGAUGUUGGGUUAAGUCCCGCAACGAGCGCAACCCACGUUCUUAGUUGCCAGCAUUGAGUUGGGCACUCUAGGGAGACUGCCGGUGACAAACCGGAGGAAGGUGUGGAUGACGUCAAGUCAGCAUGCCCCUUACGUCCUGGGCUACACACGUACUACAAUGCUGUGGACAAAGGGCAGCCAGCCAGCGAUGGUGAGCUAAUCCCAGAAACCACGGCUCAGUUCAGAUUGCAGGCUGCAACUCGCCUGCAUAAGGAGGAAUCGCU
rnacentral:rRNA from 1 species